ensembl:lincRNA T09F5.12 ncRNA
AGAAAAUGAACAAUCUUGCUGGAUUUCUCAAGGACAAAUCGAGCGUUGCGUCUCUCAACUUGGAUACUGUUCAGAUUUCGUCGCUUGCGUAUGACAAACAGACUUCUACCGUUUAUGUCGGAUCUCAGCACGGGACUAUAUUCAUGUGCAACUUUCUCACAGACCCAGAUCAGAAAAAUGUUCAGAUAAGUAGUCUUUUUAAUUUUAAGAGAAAAGUAAGUGAGCAUUCGUGUGUUUUCCGAAGCUUUUCUGACACUUUUUGUUACUUACGAAUGUGUUUUUUGUUUGGUUUUAAAUGGGAAAAAUCGGUAUAUGAUCUAUCGAGGAAACAAGCUAUUUUGAAAAUAAAAUUCAUGUUUGGAUUGCACGCACAAAUUAUUUCAAAAUUUGAUAUUUUGUGUCUGCGUUUUUUUUAAAUUGUAGUUAGUCGGCUUCUGCGGUAAUCGGGAACUUUCCGCAAUAUCGCCAAUUUGCUGGGUUCCUAUUUUUGGCAAGCGGCAACUGCCGCACACCCCGCUUUCCAAUUGACAGAAACAUAUAUACAAAUUGAACUAAACUGCUUUUCAGAACUUUGCUGCCCACAAGUCUGCUGUCACAACAAUGCGAACAAUAGAUCAACAGACCGAACCAUCAAGAAAUGGAAGAACGGAGUUUGUCUGAAGACAUACACUGGAUCUACCAAAGGGAUUUGCUGUGGUUUGGUGUUGCGGAAUGAAUUGAUUAUGUGUUCCCCAUCGGACGGUGUAAAACGGUGCUGGGAUACAACCAAGGAUGCACCAAUCAAGUUCCUAAAUGGUAGAAAAACAAUUGGAGAACAAGAGGAGACAAAUUGGAAAAAUAUCAGCUGUCGGACACUAUCAAAGUUGUUCCUCAACUUGACUCUGAAAACGUUGCCUUCUUGAACCGUGACCAUCAGUUUGAGCAAUUCUUCAAAGGAUCUCACAAUACAAUCCAGUCACCAUCGACGAAUGUUUCAAAAAUGGAGUUUUUAUGAUGGACGGACAAAAACCCGUUCGCAUACGAAACCGGACAAAACACCUUACGCGUUGCUGAAUUUGUUGGGUCGCAUAUUGUAACUCCUUCCAAUUUGACAACAAGAAUAUAUUGGAAAACUACGAAGGUUGGCAUUUCGUAUUGGACAGAACACAUUUGAAGUAAAAUAUGGUGAAACAUCGGUAACGUAUUAUCAGGAACGACAAGUUCAUGAAUGCUGGUCUUUGGGAAGAUGUUAUUUAGAAAAACAUGUUUGAUGAAGUGCCAAUCGUUACACAACACGAUCUACAAAGUAUUCAGCACGAAAAAUCAAUGAUGUUCAAAAUCAAAAUUGGAGCUGGAUUGCCACCAGAUGACGGGAUUGUUCCGAUUCUCCCGACAUUCCGAAUUCCCCUCGUGCUUCUAUAUGAUUAAGUGUGUAAACUGAUUUAUAUAAAUUUUUUGAGAAGAUAUUUUAUUGCUCAGAAUAAACCUUUUAAAGUUUUGGGUAAA